rnacentral:lncRNA from 1 species
CAGGAUUCAGCAGAACCAGAAAGCUUUUUGGAGAAUCCUUUCAAUUUUCCAGCCAAAGUGCCCUGCUAUGCGUAUGACCUUUAUUUCCUAGACUUUUCCAAAGGAUGGAAAAUAUUGUGAUGUCCAAAAAGGACUGAGAUCAUCCAGUGGGGCUGUGAUUGCAGGAGGUUCAGAAAAACUGUGGGCAGACAUGACUACUGAGGAGGUGUGAGGUAGGCGAGCAAGUUGUGGGGUGCCUCGCAGGCCCAGGAAGAAGGCCCAGCCCGGCAAGCAUCCAGAAGGAAGUUCCGGAAGCAGCAAAUGAGAUUCUUCACCCUCCUCUGUGAUGAGGUUAGAUCUCCAAAGCAGGACUUCAACUAAUCAAAGGAAAAGUGGUUAUGAAACAGAAUACCUAAAAAUCAGGCCAAAACUUAGACAAGGAACUAGGAAAGAAAAGAAUCUAGUUAUGGAACUGAGGUACCAGGAAAGACCUCAAUCAAAAAGGUAUAAGUCAACUAGGCACAGUGGUACACACCUGUAAUCCCAGAGGUUCUGGAAGCUGAGGCAGGAGGGUUGCAGGUUCAAAGCCAACCUAUAAGCUGGCCUCUGCAAUUUAGUGAGGCCCUCAACAACUUAAAGAGACCCUGUCUCAAAAAAAAAA